AAUAAUUCAAUUGUGUUCCUAAUUUUUAAUUAAAUAAAAUUAUAAAUUGUAUUAUAUGGUUGAAAAGAUAUUUUAAUUAUAAUCAUCAAAAUAUAAAAUUUAUAUUCAUUUAUAAAUAAUUCUAAACAUUAUUGAAAAUUAGAGGAAAAUACUAUAAAUUAGUUAAAUAAUCCACGUGCAAAGUACGUGUCAAGAAACUAGUUAAUUAAAAAGGGAUCCAUUUACACAUGUAAGAGAGAAGGGUUCUGCUCAAUUUAUUGAAAAAAAUAUAUGCAUUAGACCACCGCUUCCCUUUGCCAGCGGGCCUCGUGUUUCUCAUUCAUAUAUAGUUUGAGCACCCCGCCUCCAAAACUAAUGCAAUAAAUAAAUAUAUGCAUUAAUUAAUUAGUAUAUUUUUUUUAAUAUAAAAAUAAGGUUUGAAUAUCUUUUAAGUUAUAAUUUAUUGGCUUAAUUAAUUAGUAUUAAUAAAAAAGCGAAUCAUCACAGAGCAUACCUUAAUUAAUUACUCCCAAAUCCUAUAAUAUUAACUUAUUAUCCUAUAUAGUUUUCAUAACAGCAGUUCAAAUACUAGUAGUCAUAAAAAGAUUUAACGAAACUCCUGCGUUUCUAUAAAUUUUAUAUUUUUAUUUAUUUCUUUUUAAUUUUAAUUAACAAAACCAUUAGUCAUGCGAUGAAUGCCGAAUCAUAUGUAUGCAUGCAUAGGUGUCUUUCGCCAUGACCUGAUUCUAGUCAGGGGGACUUGUCUGUAUAUCCAAAUUAACCAAUGGUUCGAACCACUUUUUUCUUCUUCUUAUCUAUACGUGUAUCAUCUCCAAAUGAAUCUAGCUAGCUAGCUAUCCAGGGAAGGAUCUGGGAUUCAGAGAUAAGAGGAGGAGACGGAGAAACUUUCAAGAAAUACAGGAGGCCCCCUUCUCCUCCAUAAAAAGGAAUAUAUACUCAAAGAAUUGAUGCUUUAGAUUGAGCUCUUCAUUCUCUGCAGAUGAAAUCAAAUUGUGCAAAAUUGAUGAACUGCAGAACCAGUUCAACUCUAUUGCUACAACGGUAAAAGCUUUUAAGCCCUUUUUACCUGUAUUCACACCUUGACAGAAGCAAACAAUGCGGCAGGUCAUAUGGUUUGGCCAAGCAGAGUCUGGACAGAAUUGAUGGUUUUGUAGCCUGGUUUUGAUCUAGUCUAUCUCUUGUAUUUCUUGCUUCUGUUUCUGCUUUGUACGCCAUUAUCUUGUAUCCUAUUAAUAAAGCCUGGUUUAGCUUGUUCAGCAUAA